rnacentral:miRNA from 15 species
AGAGGUUUUCUAGGUUUCUGUUU